rnacentral:rRNA from 1 species
AUACAGAGGGUGCAAGCGUUAAUCGGAUUUACUGGGCGUAAAGCGCGCGUAGGUGGCUAAUUAAGUCAAAUGUGAAAUCCCCGAGCUUAACUUGGGAAUUGCAUUCGAUACUGGUUAGCUAGAGUAUGGGAGAGGAUGGUAGAAUUCCAGGUGUAGCGGUGAAAUGCGUAGAGAUCUGGAGGAAUACCGAUGGCGAAGGCAGCCAUCUGGCCUAAUACUGACACUGAGGUGCGAAAGCAUGGGGAGCAAACAGGAUUAGAUACCCUGGUAGUCCAUGCCGUAAACGAUGUCUACUAGCCGUUGGGGCCCUUGAGGCUUUAGUGGCGCAGCUAACGCGAUAGGUAGACCGCCUGGGGAGUACGGUCGCAAGACUAAAACUCAAAUGAAUUGGCGGGG